rfam:Balearica pavonina gibbericeps contig5942, whole genome shotgun sequence.
GCUCAGCUAGCUCAGUUGGUAGAGCAUGGGACUCUUAAUCCCAGGAUCAUGGGUUUGAGCCCCAUGUUGGGUG